GAAACUGAGCAGUGUCCCCAGCCUGAUGUGUUGGGACCCUCACGGUGUGUGCCCAGAACACCAGGCAGUGCCAGGGAUGAUAUCCCUGCAUGGAGAAAACCAUGUACAACACCAGCUGCACCAGAUCUCUGCCAGCACUGAGCAGGGAAAUUGCAUGUGCAGUUACACCCAGCAGAUGCAGAUCAGCGGGGAGUUCUUGGCUUCAAAAUCCCCAGACUGACCCUGCAAGCAAGUUCUGUUCCCAUAAACAGCUUCUGCUUCCUCCAGCCAUACACGCGCUGCAGCACUUCUGCCUUUCCUAGCAGAGCCAUUCAGCCCAAACCCAUCUGUGAAUCCUCCCAGCACUGCUGCACAUUGCAGGUGUUGGCACACCACUGGGUCCUGGUGACCAACAGUACUCCCAGCUCAGACAUGUCACAGAUGGACUUCAUUGCUCCUUUCUUUGAACAGCUCACCAGGGCAAAGAGCUGCCCUGUGCCUGCUUUUGAGGAGAAAGGGAAGUCUGAGGGCACUUAGAGGAACUUGGUGUUUGCAUCUGAGCAUUGUCCUCUGCUGGUGAUGGGGACCAAGCAUCCCUCCCUGUGUGCUGGGUGUGCGGUGAGGCUCACUGCUGAAGGCCAGCAAACACUCCAGUCACCUGCAGCAGGCAUGAGAUGGCCUGAGCUCACAUUCAGCCAUUCAGCAUCUGUGCCUAGGGAAGUGAUUGCUGCAAUCAAGCCGUGCCUUUUGAGCCUGCACCGCCCCUCUAAUUAUAUAAGGGAAGCUGUUGAGAGAGAGAAAAAAAAAUCACCAGUAAAACAAAAGGCAUUUCUGAGCAAUGAUUAGUUCCCCACAACUCCAUUGCCAUCAAGUCUCAAAAAAAAUUGGAAGAUCCCACUCCUGUUUCAUCUUAAGCAGUUUCUGGAGUUAAACAACUGCUUUUGGGAGGGAUACAGCACUAUCUUCCUCCAGGAGGAAACUGAUACACUGCAUUUCUUCUUUCCUUUUCUGCCUGAAGGUCAGCAUAAAGGUUUCUGGUAGCACUGAGGAGGUAUUCACAUCUUGUCACACAUAUGGUAAGCCCUUCCAGUCUGAGGGAGAAGUGUGGGGGUAUCAUUACAUUUUAGUCAUCAGUAUCAUGGCCAACAAGAUAGCCAUCUUCCUCCUCCACCAUGUCUGACCUCAGGACAGUCAGCAGCCAAGUCUGCUCACUAAGGAUGACUAAAGCAGAUGGUCCAGCAUUUAAUCUGGUUUUCAUCAACCCAGGAAUGCCCCUACACUGUCUAUCUUCUCCAAAUAAAGGGUCUAGGAG
ensembl:lncRNA